GCAAUGUAUAGUGCCCCAUGGCUGCAUAUCUAUGGGUAAUUUGGUUUCGCUGUGUUCAGGGAGGCUGGCUUAAGAGUAUGCACUUGACAUCUUGCCAGGACGCUGAAUUUUGAAGUGUAUUAGAAGGUAUCUCCAAGGGGAAGUCAACUUUCAAGACUAAAAGUGGCCUGCACUGAGUUCACCAAGUCUCAGAUUCUCUACAUGUUGACAUCUACAAGUGACCUGAGAUUCCAGAUGCCUCAUUCUGUACCUAUAUGCUGCCAGCCAACCCCAAGCCCCAGUAGUGCUUUCUAUCCUCUGACACCAUGCCCAGCCAUCUAGAUCACAGACCCUUCCUCUGAGUUCCCAUCUCUCCUCGUCUGCCCUGUUCCUUCUGCGACCCAGUGCAAUGCCCAUGUGUAAUGUCACACACCUGCUUUCAUCUGUCUGCCCUGGAUCCACUUGGGCUUCUACGUAUCCCAUCAGGAUUCAGGCCAAUUCUCUGCUCAAUGGGCUCUGGAUGACCCUCUCCUCUGGAUGGGACAACCUGCACUUUCCCAUACCCCCAAGACAUCUGGAUUUGAUGCCUCUGAGAUUGGCCCACCUCCACCAGGUCCCUGACUCUGUUUGUCCAGACUUUGCCUCCUGAUGCUCCUGCAACAUCCUCAGAAGAUCCCUUCACCUAAACUUUUGUCCUGUUUGCUUGGCUGGCCCUUGGUCGUCUGAGGUGGCAAAUGUAGGAUUUAUGAUUAUAGACUCUGGAAACAACUGAUGAGCUUCAAUCCCAGCUCCACUAGUUCCUAACUGUGAUACCAAGCCAGUUUCUGAAGCUCUUUUUGUAUCUCAUUUUCCUCAUCUGUACAAUGAGGCUGUUGAGAUAAAAUGAGUUAUCAUGUGUAGCACCCUGCCACCAACUCAAUAAAUAUUAACUUUUGCUAUUAUCUGACCCCCA
rnacentral:lncRNA from 12 species